UUUUUUUUUUACUUAAGAAGAAGUCCUGACUGAUAUCAACCACUAAGGCAACAAAUCCAAAUGGCAGGUGCCUCUGAAGAGAAACCAACUGAAUUCCAAUGAUAUCUCCAAAGAUUACCAGUCAGGUUAUCAAUAGGAAGGAACUUAACCUUUGCUUUACUGUUGUAAAGGGGAAUUAAAAAAACAUAGCACCUUCUCUUUAUAUUGCUUUUGUGAACUGAAUUGGGCAUUGCAUGUAAAUAUCUUAAGUAGGACUGGAGGACGGAGUGAAAGCCAUCUUUUUUAAUUACUUGUAGUAUCAGCAUAAUUACAAAACAUUUUAGGUCUUUAAUUUUCCUAAUUAGUUUGAACUAUACAUCAUAACCCUAAAGAAAAAGGCAAAGUCUUUUUUCCUAAAGUUUCAUAAAUAAUUUUACCAUACCCCAAGCCAGCAAAAGCCAUAAUAAAAAGGUUUGUUAAUUAGUCUGUCAGCUAUACAAUACACAUUUUAAUAUUAGCAAGUAUCGAUCUGAAAUAUAAUUAAAAUACUUAAGCCUGAAAAAAACCCUAGUUACCACAGCAAGAAUUUGCUAUAGUUAUGGAUAAGUAGAAUGUUUUUACUUCUGUGGUGGUUCUUUUAACCUUAUAGCAAUUCACUGGAAUUUUCUCUUUAAAAAGCUAUUAAUAGAAAUAUAUUCUAUUGGAAAUGUUGUCUUUUGCCAUUUAUUGAGUUGUUUAUUAUCAAUAUAAUACAUUUGAACAAAUUUUAGAGGUACAUGUGAUAUGGUCAUAUCUGUAAACAAUGUGUCAGGAUCCAAUCAGAUAACUGGGAUAUGCAUCUUCUCAAAUAUUUAUCUUUUCUUUGGGUUAGGAACAUUCUAAUUCUUCUCUUCCAGCUAUUUUGAAAUAUACAGUUCCCCACUGCAUUAACCAAUCCUAGAACUUAUUCCUUCUAUCUAACUGCAUUUUUGUACCCCUAAACCAACUUGUAUUUUCUUACAAUGUCAAUUAGUAUGUCUUGUAUAGUAAAUCAUAUUAAUAGGAGAAUAGCUUUGUUUUGUGUGUUUUAAUUUCAUUCUCCUCUGUGUAACCAAACAUCUCCAAGACAUUUAUCUUCCUUUGGCUAAGAGAACAACAUAAAAAUUUGUUUUAUAUUGUUUCUUCCUGUUGAUACCUUCUCUUCAGGUCAGGUAGACAUCUCAAUUCUAAGACCAAAGAUCAAUUCCACUUUGGAAAAUGGUUUGGUAAUUACUAACCUAAGAUAUCCAUGCCCCUUCACAGACAUUCUGCAAGUUUAUGUGACACAUCUGAUGUAUGAAUGCUGUCUAAAGAUCUAACAUUUAACAACUAUAACACAUGGGGCAUUUAUUAGACGGUGAGUACUGACUCAGAUAAUAUUUACAGACACGUACAAGGAUGUUUGAUCUACAGAAACCUCCUGCCACAGCUUGCCAUGACUUUAUCUAGAAGAUGACUUCCCAAUGAAUACCCUUAUUUCUGAGUAAGAAAACAUUCUAGAACUGGCUUUUUCACCCC
rnacentral:lncRNA from 1 species